AACGAACGCUGGCGGCAUGCCUAACACAUGCAAGUCGAACGAGACCUUCGGGUCUAGUGGCGCACGGGUGCGUAACGCGUGGGAAUCUGCCCCUUGGUUCGGAAUAACAGUGGGAAACUAACUGCUAAUACCGGAUGACGACGAAAGUACCAAAGAUUUAUCGCCGAGGGAUGAGCCCGCGUAGGAUUAGCUAGUUGGUGAGGUAAUGGCUCACCAAGGCGACGAUCCUUAGCUGGCUGAGAGGA
rnacentral:rRNA from 1 species